CUUGGCCGAGACACUUCCAGGACACCCAUUUCUUCAUCUACAGAAUAGGGAGAGUAAAAAUCUCGUUGCGGGGCUGUUUUAAAAAUUGCAUAGUGCAAUCUAGCUCUCAGGAUUGACACGACAGGAAUUUUUCUGUUUUGUUUCGCCUGUCGAGAAAAAAUGGAACAGCCUCCUAAGGAAGGGAACUUCUUUCUAAAGAUAAGCAAGCAUGUUGGAGAUGAUAAAUAAUACAUAGGAAUGCGCAGUAUAAUCUGAAAGACAGAAAAGCAGUUUGAGGAAUUUUUCAGUUCUGUUGAUAAGUACACCCCAGCUUUGCUGGUGAAAGGUUAUGUCAAUGUCCAGGCUUUGGUGUGGCCACUAGGGGGCGUCGGUUUGUAGAAACAUCAUGACUGCCAGUGAUUCCACUCGCCCGGUGGGAGGCUGAAGAGACAGAACACAGCUGGUUGCCCAGAGCUCAGCUGGGGCAGGCCUCCUACACUGUGUGGCCAGAGCUUCCCAUGGCCGGCAGACGGAGGUGCCUGUCCCAGCAAAGCUGCCCACUCGUCAGGAGCACCGAUGUUAAGGGGCGUCAGAGUGGGUGACAUGAGCUACUUGGUGCUAACUACUCCCUGGCCUUCUUCUUGAGCAACCACUUGAAUGUCUUUUGGCCUCGAAUUCCUUAAAUUUUAAAACUGAUUCCUCUCACUCCCUAAGCACUGCCAGUAUGCUGCAAGGAUAGAAGUCCAUUUGUGCCUUCCCGGUUCUGCUACCUUAUUUUUUCUCUACAACUCAGCUGGGGUGUCAUCUUUUCCAGGAGAACAUCUCAGAUUCCCCUCACUCUCCAAGCCAGGACUGGUUGAAUCUCCCAUCUCUGUGCUUUCAACUCUCUGAACAUACUUUUAACAUAGCCUCACCCUCCCUUCCCCUCUGGCCCUCUCAGCAGAUGGUAAACGCCUUGAGACAGGGAUGGUUCUCUACCCGACUCUGCAUGUCCAGCUCAUCCCAGUGCCUCCCAGAAAGCAAAUGUGUCCAGCUGAACUCAACCUUCUUAGCCAAAGUGGAAUAUUUUUCUACAGGUGGUGUUAGAAAAGGCUCCUUGGUUUGGGCGCUCCUCACAUCUUGAUGCACUAUAACAACAGGUCAUGGUAACAAACAGUGGUUCUUCUGACCCCAGAACGGAGCUGCUCCUCUUCUCCAUCUCUGGUCAUGUGUCUUGAAGGGAAACUGCCGUUGUCUUGAGAUCUUGUUAUCUUGGCCACUAUUGAUUGGACCAGGGAUGGAUACUUGACCCAAGCUUGGCCAAUGAGAGCACUUCCCUGGGACAUUUGAUCUCGGGACAGAGGUGGUGAGUGUCAUUCUCUGGUACG
rnacentral:lncRNA from 1 species